UUGCUUCUCUGAUGUUAGCGGCGGACGGGUGAGUAACACGUGGAUAACCUACCUAUAAGACUGGGAUAACUUCGGGAAACCGGAGCUAAUACCGGAUAAUAUUUUGAACCGCAUGGUUCAAAAGUGAAAGACGGUCUUGCUGUCACUUAUAGAUGGAUCCGCGCUGCAUUAGCUAGUUGGUAAGGUAACGGCUUACCAAGGCAACGAUGCAUAGCCGACCUGAGAGGGUGAUCGGCCACACUGGAACUGAGACACGGUCCAGACUCCUACGGGAGGCAGCAGUAGGGAAUCUUCCGCAAUGGGCGAAAGCCUGACGGAGCAACGCCGCGUGAGUGAUGAAGGUCUUCGGAUCGUAAAACUCUGUUAUUAGGGAAGAACAUAUGUGUAAGUAACUGUGCACAUCUUGACGGUACCUAAUCAGAAAGCCACGGC
rnacentral:rRNA from 1 species